GAAAGAUUCUAUACCUCCUUUAAAAAUGCCAGAACUUGUCUGAACUCUGAAGCUAAGUAGGGUUGGGUCUGGGUAGUACUUGGAUGAAGGACCUAAUCAGAAUAAAAUCAGUACUUUUU
rnacentral:rRNA from 1 species